GAUGAACGCUGGCGGCGUGCCUAAUACAUGCAAGUCGAGCGAACGGACGAGCAGCGUGCUUUUCUGAUGUUAGCGGCGGACGGGUGAGUAACACGUGGAUAACCUACCUAUAAGACUGGGAUAACUUCGGGAAACCGGAGCUAAUACCGGAUAAUAUUUUGAACCGCAUGGUUCAAAAGUGAAAGAGGGUCUUGCUGUCACUUAUAGAUGGAUCCGCGCUGCAUUAGCUAGUUGGUAAGGUAACGGCUUACCAAGGCAACGAUGCAUAGCCGACCUGAGAGGGUGAUCGGCCACACUGGAACUGAGACACGGUCCAGACUCCUACGGGAGGCAGCAGUAGGGAAUCUUCCGCAAUGGGCGAAAGCCUGACGGAGCAACGCCGCGUGAGUGAUGAAGGUCUUCGGAUCGUAAAACUCUGUUAUUAGGGAAGAACAUAUGUGUAAGUAACUGUGCACAUCUUGACGGUACCUAAUCAGAAAGCCACGGCUAACUACGUG
rnacentral:rRNA from 1 species